AUCCAGCUGAUGAGUCCCAAAUAGGACGAAAUGCGCAUCCUGGAU
rfam:Trichobilharzia regenti genome assembly, scaffold: TRE_scaffold0032748